rnacentral:rRNA from 1 species
UCGAGAAUUUUUCUCAAUGGGCGAAAGCCUGAAGGAGCGACGCCGCGUGGGGGAUGAAUGGCUUCGGCCCGUAAACCCCUGUCAUUUGUGACCAAACCUUUUCACUUAAUACGUGAAAAAUUGAUGGUAGCGGAAGAGGAAGGGACGGCUAACUCUGUGCCAGCAGCCGCGGUAAUACAGAGGUCCCAAGCGUUGUUCGGAUUCACUGGGCGUAAAGGGUGCGUAGGUGGUUGGAUAAGUUUGAUGUGAAAUCUCCGGGCUUAACCCGGAAACUGCAUUGAAUACUAUCCGGCUGGAGGGUUGGAGGGGGGACUGGAAUUCUCGGUGUAGCAGUGAAAUGCGUAGAUAUCGAGAGGAACACCAGUGGCGAAGGCGAGUCCCUGGACAACUCCUGACACUGAGGCACGAAAGCUAGGGGAGCAAACAGGAUUAGAUACCCCUGUAGUCC